UACGUAGGGUGCAAGCGUUAUCCGGAAUUAUUGGGCGUAAAGAGCUCGUAGGCGGUUUGUCGCGUCUGCUGUGAAAAACUCGGGGCUUAACCCCGGGCGUGCAGUGGAUACGGGCAGGCUAGAGGCAGGCAGGGGAGAACGGAAUUCCUGGUGUAGCGGUGAAAUGCGCAGAUAUCAGGAGGAACACCGGUGGCGAAGGCGGUUCUCUGGGCCUGUACUGACGCUGAGGAGCGAAAGCGUGGGGAGCGAACAGG
rnacentral:rRNA from 1 species